UUAGCUCCGGUGAGAACCUGCUUUCCUGAACCAGGGGAACGCAUCCGGCAAGCACAAUAGGUUGGCAAGCACAAUAGGUUGUGGUGCAUCUAGAGGGCGGUGUUCAUAUCAAUCGGUGGUGUUCGAUUGUCUAUUAGGGCAGUGGGAAGGUUGUUUUCGCUGUGUCAUUCAAUGGAUACUUCUUGCCAAGUUUUUAGGGAUGGUCAUCGGGCGGUAUGAUGGUGAGUUUGCGGGUUCUGGCGAGGCAGUGAUUGACCAAGAUAAUUUGAAAACUUUCUGUGGUCAUAAAGUAUAGAUGUGGAACUCCAGGAACUGCCAAGAAGAAAGGAAUAACAUGACCAGGAACAUACAUUCAAGAACUGAAGUGUUCAUAGUAAUUAAGAUAGUCGUAGAGUAUUAUUGGCGACAUAUCAUGUGAUUACACCAAGAAUGAUUUGGUUUAGCAUGAUCGUGUUAUGAGUUGUGAUGUCAAACGUACACACCAAGAAUGAUUAAGUUUAGCAUCAUCGUGUUAUGAGUUGUGAUGUAAAGCGUACACACUAAGAAUGAUUGAUCCGGU
rnacentral:lncRNA from 1 species